CUCCCUGGAAAGAAUGUGGGAGAGAGAGGCAGAGAUAAUGAAAUGUUUACAGCUUUGCACAAGAAAACUGCAAUCAGUCAGAAGCUAAGCCAUAACUUCUAGAAGAUUCCUAGUUUUACAACUAAUCUUUAUUUUGAGAAGAAAGCAGUAUAUCACCACCACAUCAGGUUUUCUGUAGAGCCCACAGCCUGUCAAGGACAGAGACUUUCAGCACAGGAGAGAGCCCCCAUCCAUGUGGGAGACCAAACAGGCUUGUGUCGCUCCAGCUCCUCAAGCUUCCUGGGAUGCCGUGUGUGUGACAUUACCUCCACCAGCAUGCUGGUGGCUCCUUCACUAGCCAAGCCCAACAAUAUGAUCAGGACUCUUGUCACUGUCUUGUACCCAGGGUUCUGGGCCUGCUGGAGUUGGAGGAUGUACUUUAAAACUGUCUCUGCUCUGGGCCACUUUUUGCCUCCUAACUUUAUUCUUUUUGCUAUGCCCAUCUAGAAGCAAGAUGGAAGACAUUAAGUGUUACUUCAGCCAUUAUACUUCCUUUAAAAGGGAAGUCACAGGCGAGCAGGGGAGGAGGAAAGGCCCAUGUGAGCCGUGGGGAGAAAGGUCCUAAGGGCCUGGAGUGAUGGGAGCAAUAUAAUGGACAUGAAGCAUAGGGCAUGACAAAUGAUGAGGUCACAAGCUCCUGAUUCUCUAAGGCUACAUGAAUGAGGUGGUUGAUAUACCAAGUCAGUGACAAAUGAGGACAAGCAUUCACUCUGCUCACACCAAGAAGUUGUGACAGUGCAGAGAGAGCACUGUGCUGCACAGGCUGCGGGAGAUCCCAAACCUGCUUGCUGGAGAUGGUGCCUCUAGUCCUGUGGACACUGUCUGUUCUUUAGCCACCUAGAGAGGUAGGCUGCCUACCUCAGCAGGAGGCCAUCUGGGCUCUGUGCUGUUUCAGGCUCUGUGGUGGUUGAGCCUGGUGCUUAAAGAGGCCAAGUAUGCUACUAUACUGGGGCAAAUAUUUAGUAGCAGCAAAUUUGUAAUUUCUGCUUUUGGAGAAUAAGGUUAAAAUACUCCAAUUAUCACAGCCACGGGAGCAGCUGAGUGCUCUAGAAGCAAUGUUUACAAAGCAAAUAAAAAUGGGUGAAAAUGUGGGAUCCAAUGAACUACAAAAGUCCUGCUUGUGCCAAAUGCAGAGAAUUUCUAGAGUUGUGGAGGCAGAAAGCUGAGCAAAAAGCAAACGCAAAUCUGAAUCUCCUGCAUCCAAGUGACAGUCUCUACUAAUGAGAUCACACCAUAACUAUAUUUUAUCCUUAAAGUUCUUUUCCUUAAAGUUCAGCUUCUGUAAAGAUGGCUCAGCAGGUGACAGUGCUUCCCUCGCACCACACAAGCCUGGGAACCGGAACUCAGUCCUGGGAAUCCAGGCAAAGGUGGAGGGGAGAACCAACUCCAUCUCUCAAGCUAUCUCUGUCCUCCACGUAUGCACUGCAGAACACGUGGACACACACACACACACACACACACACACACACACACACACACACUCAGUCACACACGUGCACAUGUACACACACACAUACACACACACUGCACAAACUAAUAAAUAAUGUAAACAUUUAACAAGGAUUAGUUAUGACAGCACACUCUUUGGGUAGAGAGGUAUGGUUGACUAAUCAAUGUCUCAUUUAAGACAGCCCAAAGCAAUCACCCACAUCCUAUGACACAUCUUGUGUCUGCUGUGUUUCUAAACUGAAGGUGAAGAUGGCAAGAAAGAUGACGGGGUUCUACUUUACCUUCUUCACACACACACACUCACUCACACACUCACUCACUCACUCACACACACAUUCACACACUCACUCACACACUCACUCACUCACACACUCACUCACUCACAUACUUACUCACUCACUCACUCACUAGAACGAGGAGAGGCAGCUGUGCUGCUGCACUGGGCUGGGUUGUCACUGUAAUCACAGACCUGCUCUAGCCUAGGAUGCGGUCAUGGAGGGAAGGCCUUGAGGAUACCACAGCCUUCUCCUGAGGGAGUGAGUAGUUCUUAAAGGUCAGAGUGCUGGGAUCUGAACUUGGGUCCUCUGGAAAAGCAGCAAGCAAGAUCUUGAUUGCACAACUAUGUCUCUAGCCCAGUCCCAGGACUGAAUAAAUCUUUAAAUUUUCUCCUUUUUAGAUGUAUUUAUUUGAUAUGUUCUAGGGUUCUGCCUGCAUGUGUAUGGCUGAAACCUGAAGAGGUCAGAGGGCGGUGUCAGAUCCCUUGGAACUGGAGUUAUGGGUGGCUGUGAACUGCCAUGUAGGUGCUGGGAAUUGAAUCUGAGUCCUCAGAAAAAUAUCAAGUGCUCUUAACUACCAAACCAAGCCAUCUUUCCACCCCACAGUGGUCAAAUAUUAAAGCAUCCUGGGAGGAAGCACACAGGAGCUACAGAAGACAAGGUGUCCCCGUGCCUUAAGAAAGGAAGGUGUAAUAAGUUCUCAAACUGACAACAGCUAGGAGAAUAGAUGGACUAAUAGGCCUGUGAUAAAAAAAAAAUGAUGGUUUUGUCUUCAAUAGACACCAUAAGACUAUGUAUUGGGCUGGCGAGAUGGCUCAGUGGAUAAGAGCACUGACUGCUCUUCUGAAGGUCCUGAGUUCAAAUCCCAGCAACCACAUGGUGGCUCACAACCAUCUGUAAUGAGAUCUGGUGUGUCUGAAGACAGCUACAGUGUACCUAUACAUAAUAAAUAAAUAAAUCUUAAAAAAAUAUAAAAAAAAGACUAUGUACUAGCAAGGCCCAGAAUAGGGAAAAUAUUUGCUAUAGAUAUUACUCAUUUCCAUUAACUGAGUUUAAAGAGCUUUUAAAGUUAGGCAGUAAUAGGAAGAGAGACAUUCAAAGCUUAAAGACAAAGAAAACAUUCAAACAGACAACUUCAUAAAUUGUUUUCUGAGGGCUGGCAGGAUGGCUCAGUGGGUGAAGAAGGUGCCAACCCUGAAGAUCUGGAUUUGGUCCCUGGAGCCACACGCAGAGAAUUGCCUUCUGCAAGCUGUCUACUGAUUUCCAUAUGUGUCUAUUCCCAACAGAUAAGUAAAUAAACAUAAGGAAAAAAAAGAUUUAAAAAGUAGCAUAUAUAGCAAAAGGUGUUUGAUAUUGAAAGUGACUAAAGAAUGCAGACUCCAUUUCCAAGGCAAUAGCAAGUAAAACAACAGCAGCAACAACAACACGUCCCCAAAUUUACUAGAAGAAACACAGAGUGCUGGACACAAUGUAAACUGACAUGUCCAUUUUGGAAGCCUGCUCCGCUACUUUAUUACUGAGUUACACCCACAUUUCCAUAGACAAGCUAAGGGAAACAGUGGCAUAAUCCACACACAGGACUCAGCACAGUGUCUGGCCGUGAACUCCCAGUCCUCUGCUUCAGCUUCCCUCAUGCCAGAGUUAGCUGCACUCAAAACACCUCACCUGUACCAUUGUUAUUUUGCUAAAUUACUAAUAGGAAUGUGAGUGUGUAUGACACACAUACACACGGACACACAACAUUGGCUGCAUGAUUAGCUUCCUUGGUCUGAACCCUUCCUUCAGCUUCUAACAAUUCAACACAGGGUAGUUCUGGAACGUACUUUAUGCUAUGCUGGACAUCUGCAUGUGCUGCCCCGGGUACAUGUAUUUGCAUGCUGGACAUACUUGACUGGUGCAGCCAUAGCAUGCAGUAGUUUAGCAACAACAGCUGCUACUGAUGUGAAAAGCUGAGACUUUUUUGUGUCAGGGAAGUCAUGGCAGAAGUGGCUUCAUUAUCCAUAAGUCUCUAUUUUCACCUUCUAGGGAUACAAUACCUUACUUUUGCCUAACUAACCCUGAUCUGCAGGCUGCUGUGGUCAAGUGGCUGAGUCCUGUGUCAAGGGACACUGGGAAGGGUACGCACACUUCGUUGUUCAGUGAUACACCUGUUGAAGGGAUGCUCAUGUGCCCUACCUUUCCUCGCCCUGAUGGUGGGGAGUCCUGACAGAUGGAUACACAGCCCUGGUCACCUUCAGCUGACUUUCCACUAUAUGGAUACAAACUCCUAUCCAAUCCAGCCACUGUCACUUAGGUUGCCACUGGGUUAGUGCAGCUCAACGGAAAUUUCAACUUUUGGUUCACUAAAGUUUUACCGUUCCAUGGAUAUCUCUGGGUCACGUAUGCAAGUCCCUGAAGCAGCCCCUUCAAUGCAAGGUUUGUCCAAUACACAUGCAUCAGCACCAGGUAGUUUCUGAGAUCCUCAAAGAAAUUUUGUGUGUCCCAGAUCAUUUUUUACCAGAUGAUAAAAUUAAUCUGUUUGCUUAUUUGAUUUCUAGCUUUGUUUUAUUCCUCCUCCUCUCUGUGUGUGAAAGCCACAUGUGCAGUGCCUGCAGAAGCCAGAGGAGGGCAUCACGUCCUGGAGCUGGAGUUACAAGAGGUUGUGAGCUGCCUGACCUGGGUGCUAGGAACAAAACUUGGGCCCUUGGCAAGCUCAAAAAGCACUUUUAACCACAGAGUCACUUCUCCAGCUCUUUAACUCUACUUUAAAAAGGAAUGUGGCAAUAGCAACCAUAACUAAGACACCAUCCAGCAAAACAAAACACUUGGAUAGAAAUGUGCAUGUCCUUGCGGGAUGCAACUAGAGCUGAAUACAGCUUUCCAAUCAUAACUCUAAGGCUUGUCUAACUUAAUUUGAUUGCCACCAGAGUUGUUGAAUAAAUAAGUGAAAAAAAAUUAUCUCAUAAAAAUGAGACCUUUAAUUAGAUAAGCCACUUGGAAAACAAACCUCCAUGUAAGUAUUUAUGGAGCUGAUUUAGAACAAAGGACACUCUACCUACAACAGUGUCAGAGGGAGAACAUCUGAUUGGCAUCUUGUACACAGAACUUCACAGAAGCAAGCCACAUCUACACUGAAGGCACUGCAAGACUAAUGACUGAUUAGAACUGCUUGAUUGCAGUUACAGAUCCACAUCUGGACUCUUCAGUUUAUUCAGUCAUCCAUUAUCCUGCUCUGGGUCUGACCUAAUCUGCUGACUCUCAGCUAAUACUAUUGAAAUGCACUCUUUCAUAAAGACUUAUUUUUA